CCUACGGGAGGCAGCAGUGAGGAAUAUUGGUCAAUGGGCGCGAGCCUGAACCAGCCAAGUAGCGUGAAGGAUGACUGCCCUACGGGUUGUAAACUUCUUUUAUAAAGGAAUAAAGUGAGGCACGUGUGCCUUUUUGUAUGUACUUUAUGAAUAAGGAUCGGCUAACUCCGUGCCAGCAGCCGCGGUAAUACGGAGGAUUCGAGCGUUAUCCGGAUUUAUUGGGUUUAAAGGGAGCGUAGAUGGGUUGUUAAGUCAGUUGUGAAAGUUUGCGGCGCAACCGUAAAAUUGAAAUUGAUACUGGAAGUUUUGAGUACAGUUGAGGUAGGCGAAAUUCGUGUUGUAGCGGUGAACUGCUUAG
rnacentral:rRNA from 1 species